UACAGAGGGGGCAAGCGUUGUUCGGAAUUACUGGGCGUAAAGGGCGCGUAGGCGGCCUGCUAAGUCGAACGUGAAAUCCCUCGGCUUAACCGGGGAACUGCAUCUGAUACUGGAUGGCUUGAGUUUGGGAGAGGGAUGCGGAAUUCCAGGUGUAGCGGUGAAAUGCGUAGAUAUCUGGAGGAACACCGGUGGCGAAGGCGGCAUCCUGGACCAACACUGACGCUGAUGAGCGAAAGCCAGGGGAGCAAACGGGG
rnacentral:rRNA from 1 species